CCUACGGGGUGCAGCAGUCGAGAAUCAUUCACAAUGGGGGAAACCCUGAUGGUGCGACGCCGCGUGGGGGAAUGCAGGUCUUCGGAUUGUAAACCCCUGUCAUGUGGGAGCAAAUUAAAAAGAUAGUACCACAAGAAGAAGAGACGGCUAACUCUGUGCCAGCAGCCGCGGUAAUACAGAGGUCUCAAGCGUUGUGCGGAAUCACUGGGCGUAAAGGGUGCGUAGGCUGUUUUGUGAGUCGUGUGUGAAAGGCGCGGGCUCAACCCGCGGAGGGCAGGUGAUACUGCAUGACUAGAGUAAUGGAGGGGUAACCGGAAUUCCCGGUGUAGCAGUGAAAUGCGUAGAUAUCGAGAGGAACACUCGUGGCGAAGGCGGGUUACUGGACAUUAACUGACGCUGAGGCACGAAGGCCAGGGGAGCGAAAGGGAUUAGAUACCCUAGUAGUC
rnacentral:rRNA from 1 species